rnacentral:rRNA from 1 species
AGAGUUUGAUCCUGGCUCAGAUUGAACGCUGGCGGCAUGCCUUACACAUGCAAGUCGAGCGGCAGCGCGGGGGCAACCCUGGCGGCGAGCGGCGAACGGGUGAGUAAUGCAUCGGAACGUGUCCUUUUGUGGGGGAUAACCAGUCGAAAGACUGGCUAAUACCGCAUGAGCUCGUAAGAGGAAAGCAGGGGACCGCAAGGCCUUGCGCGAGAGGAGCGGCCGAUGCCGGAUUAGCUAGUUGGUGGGGUAAAAGCCCACCAAGGCGACGAUCCGUAGCUGGUCUGAGAGGACGACCAGCCACACUGGGACUGAGACACGGCCCAGACUCCUACGGGAGGCAGCAGUGGGGAAUUUUGGACAAUGGGGGCAACCCUGAUCCAGCCAUGCCGCGUGUGUGAAGAAGGCCUUCGGGUUGUAAAGCACUUUCGGACGGAACGAAAUCGCGCGGGCGAAUAUCCCGCGUGGAUGACGGUACCGUAAGAAGAAGCACCGGCUAACUACGUGCCAGCAGCCGCGGUAAUACGUAGGGUGCAAGCGUUAAUCGGAAUUACUGGGCGUAAAGCGUGCGCAGGCGGUGAUGUAAGACAGAUGUGAAAUCCCCGGGCUCAACCUGGGAACUGCAUUUGUGACUGCAUCGCUGGAGUGCGGCAGAGGGGGAUGGAAUUCCGCGUGUAGCAGUGAAAUGCGUAGAUAUGCGGAGGAACACCGAUGGCGAAGGCAAUCCCCUGGGCCUGCACUGACGCUCAUGCACGAAAGCGUGGGGAGCAAACAGGAUUAGAUACCCUGGUAGUCCACGCCCUAAACGAUGUCAACUGGUUGUUGGGUCUUCACUGACUCAGUAACGAAGCUAACGCGUGAAGUUGACCGCCUGGGGAGUACGGCCGCAAGGUUGAAACUUAAAGGAAUUGACGG